UUUUCUGCCACCGAAUACAUUAGCAUGGGAUAAUGGAAUAGGACCCUGUCCUCCUAUUUUCAGUUGGUUUUGGCAGCGCGAGGACUAGGGUAAUGAUUAAUAGGGAUAGUUGGGGGCAUUAAUAUUUAAUUGUCAGAGGUGAAAUUCUUGGAUUUAUGAAAGAUUAACUUCUGCGAAAGCAUCUGCCAAGGAUGUUUUCAUUAAUCAAGAACGAAAGUUAGGGGAUCGAAGACGAUCAGAUACCGUCGUAGUCUUAACCAUAAACGAUGCCGACCAGCGAUUAGGAGACGUUGAAUACAAAACACCACCAUCGGCGCGGUCGUCCUUGGCGUCUGUCCCUUUCAACGGGGGCAGGCGCGAGGGCGGUUUAGCCCGGUGGCACCGGUGAAUGACUCCC
rnacentral:rRNA from 1 species